GAUGAACGCUAGCUACAGGCUUAACACAUGCAAGUCGAGGGGAAACGGCAUCGAAAGCUUGCUUUUGAUGGGCGUCGACCGGCGCACGGGUGAGUAACGCGUAUCCAACCUGCCCAUCACUUGGGAAUAACCUUGCGAAAGUAAGACUAAUGCCCAAUGACAUCCCACGAAGGCAUCCGAAUGGGAUUAAAGAUUUAUCGGUGAUGGAUGGGGAUGCGUCUGAUUAGCUUGUUGGCGGGGUGACGGCCCACCAAGGCAACGAUCAGUAGGGGUUCUGAGAGGAAGGUCCCCCACAUUGGAACUGAGACACGGACCAAACUCCUACGGGAGGCAGCAGUGAGGAAUAUUGGUCAAUGGGGGAGAGCCUGAACCAGCCAAGUAGCGUGCAGGAUGACGGCCCUAUGGGUUGUAAACUGCUUUUAUAAGGGAAUAAAGUGGGUCACGUGUGACUUUUUGCAUGUACCUUAUGAAUAAGGACCGGCUAAUUCCGUG
rnacentral:rRNA from 1 species